rnacentral:rRNA from 1 species
CCUACGGGGGGCAGCAGUGGGGAAUAUUGGGCAAUGGGCGCAAGCCUGACCCAGCAACGCCGCGUGAAGGAAGAAGGCCCUCGGGUUGUAAACUUCUUUUAUCAAGGACGAAACAAAUGACGGUACUUGAUGAAUAAGCCACGGCUAACUACGUGCCAGCAGCCGCGGUAAUACGUAGGUGGCAAGCGUUAUCCGGAUUUACUGGGUGUAAGGGGCGUGUAGGCGGGGCUGCAAGUCAGAUGUGAAAGCCAUGGGCUCAACCCAUGGCCGGCUUUGGAAACGGUGGUGCUUGAGUGUUGGAGAGGCAGGCGGAAUUCCGGGUGUAGCGGUGAAAUGCGUAGAGAUACGGAGGAACACCAGUGGCGAAGGCGGCCUACGGGACAAUAACUGACGCUGAGGCGCGAAAGCGUGGG